GGGCUUGACAUCCCACGAACCUGCCCGAAAAGGUGGGGUGCCCGCAAGGGAGCGUGGAGACAGGUGGUGCAUGGCUGUCGUCAGCUCGUGUCGUGAGAUGUUGGGUUAAGUCCCGCAACGAGCGCAACCCUCACCCCUAGUUGCCACCGGGUUAAGCCGAGCACUCAAGGGGAACUGCCAGCGUCAAGCUGGAGGAAGGCGGGGAUGACGUAAAGUCAUCAUGCCCCUUACGCCCUGGGCUACACACGUGCUACAAUGGCCAGUACAAAGGGACGCGAGACCGCGAAGUGGAGCUAAUCCCAAAAAGCUGGUCUAAGUUCAGAUUGCAGUCUGCAACUCGACUGCAUGAAGGAGGAAUCGCUAGUAAUCGCGUAUCAGCCCGGCGCGGUGAAUACGUUCCCGGGCCUUGUACACACCGCCCGUCACACCACGAAAGCUGUCUGUACUCGAAGUCGCUGAG
rnacentral:rRNA from 1 species